GAACGCACCUUGCGCCCUUUGGUCUUUCCAAUGGGUAUGCCUGUUUGAGUAUCGUGAACACCUCAACUCUCAUGGUUUGCCAUGAUGAGCUUGGACUUUGGGGGUCUUGCUGGCCUGUGGUCGGCUCCUCUCAAACGGAUCAGCUUGCCAGUGUUUGGUGGCACCACGGGUGUGAUAACUAUCUACGCUUGUGGUUUUCCACCAGAUAACCUUCAGCGAUGGAGGUUCACUGGAGCUCAUAAAUGUCUCUCCUCAGCGAAGACAGCUCUUUGAACGUUUGAUCUCAAAUCAGGUAGGACUACCCGCUGAACUUA
rnacentral:misc_RNA from 1 species